rnacentral:rRNA from 1 species
AACGCUAGCUACAGGCUUAACACAUGCAAGUCGAGGGGCAGCAUUUUAGUUUGCUUGCAAACUGAAGAUGGCGACCGGCGCACGGGUGAGUAACACGUAUCCAACCUGCCGAUAACUCCGGAAUAGCCUUUCGAAAGAAAGAUUAAUACCGGAUAGCAUACGAAUAUCGCAUGAUAUUUUUAUUAAAGAAUUUCGGUUAUCGAUGGGGAUGCGUUCCAUUAGUUUGUUGGCGGGGUAACGGCCCACCAAGACAACGAUGGAUAGGGGUUCUGAGAGGAAGGUCCCCCACAUUGGAACUGAGACACGGUCCAAACUCCUACGGGAGGCAGCAGUGAGGAAUAUUGGUCAAUGGGCGAGAGCCUGAACCAGCCAAGUAGCGUGAAGGAUGAAGGCUCUAUGGGUCGUAAACUUCUUUUAUAUGGGAAUAAAGUUUUCCACGUGUGGAAUUUUGUAUGUACCAUAUGAAUAAGGAUCGGCUAACUCCGUGCCAGCAGCCGCGGUAAUACGGAGGAUCCGAGCGUUAUCCGGAUUUAUUGGGUUUAAAGGGAGCGUAGGUGGAUUGUUAAGUCAGUUGUGAAAGUUUGCGGCUCAACCGUAAAAUUGCAGUUGAAACCGGCAGUCUUGAGUACAGUAGAGGUGGGCGGAAUUCGUGGUGUAGCGGUGAAAUGCUUAGAUAUCACGAAGAACUCCGAUUGCGAAGGCAGCUCACUAGACUGUCACUGACACUGAUGCUCGAAAGUGUGGGUAUCAAACAGGAUUAGAUACCCUGGUAGUCCACACAGUAAACGAUGAAUACUCGCUGUUUGCGAUAUACAGUAAGCGGCCAAGCGAAAGCAUUAAGUAUUCCACCUGGGGAGUACGCCGGCAACGGUGAAAUUCAAAGGAAUUGACGGGGGCCCGCACAAGCGGAGGAACAUGUGGUUUAAUUCGAUGAUACGCGAGGAACCUUACCCGGGCUUAAAUUGCAACAGAAUAUAUUGGAAACAGUAUAGCCGUAAGGCUGUUGUGAAGGUGCUGCAUGGUUGUCGUCAGCUCGUGCCGUGAGGUGUCGGCUUAAGUGUCAUAACGAGCGCAACCCUUAUCUUUAGUUACUAACAGGUGAUGCUGAGGACUCUAGAGAGACUGCCGUCGUAAGAUGUGAGGAAGGUGGGGAUGACGUCAAAUCAGCACGGCCCUUACGUCCGGGGCUACACACGUGUUACAAUGGGGGGUACAGAAGGCGGCUACCUGGUGACAGGAUGCUAAUCCCAAAAACCUCUCUCAGUUCGGAUCGAAGUCUGCAACCCGACUUCGUGAAGCUGGAUUCGCUAGUAAUCGCGCAUCAGCCAUGGCGCGGUGAAUACGUUCCCGGGCCUUGUACACACCGCCCGUCAAGCCAUGAAAGCCGGGGGUACCUGAAGUACGUAACCGCAAGGAGCGUCCUAGGGUAAAACUGGUAAUUGGGGCUA